UUGAACGCUGGCGGAAUGCUUUACACAUGCAAGUCGAGCGGCAGCGCGGGGGCAACCCUGGCGGCGAGCGGCGAACGGGUGAGUAAUACAUCGGAACGUACCCAGUUGUGGGGGAUAGCCCGGCGAAAGCCGGAUUAAUACCGCAUAAGUCCUGAGGGAGAAAGCGGGGGACCGUAAGGCCUCGCGCGAUUGGAGCGGCUGAUGUCGGAUUAGCUAGUUGGUGGGGUAAAGGCCUACCAAGGCGACGAUCCGUAGCUGGUCUGAGAGGAUGAUCAGCCACACUGGGACUGAGACACGGCCCAGACUCCUACGGGAGGCAGCAGUGGGGAAUUUUGGACAAUGGGCGAAAGCCUGAUCCAGCCAUGCCGCGUGCAGGAUGAAGGCCUUCGGGUUGUAAACUGCUUUUGUACGGAACGAAAAGACUCCUUCUAAUAAAGGGGGUUCAUGACGGUACUGUAAGAAUAAGCACCGGCUAACUACGU
rnacentral:rRNA from 1 species